rnacentral:rRNA from 1 species
GUUGUGGGAGCAAGAGCCCGGAGAUGGAUUCUGAGACAUGAAUCCAGGCCCUACGGGGCGCAGCAGGCGCGAAAACUUUACAAUGCGGGGAACCGCGAUAAGGGGACACCGAGUGCCAGCAUCCUAUGUUGGCUGUCCAUAUGUCUAAAUCACAUGUGUUAGCAAGGGCCGGGCAAGACCGGUGCCAGCCGCCGCGGUAACACCGGCGGCCCGAGUGGUGGCCACUAUUAUUGGGUCUAAAGGGUCCGUAGCCGGUUUGGUCAGUCUUCCGGGAAAUCUGACGGCUCAACCGUUAGGCUUUCGGGGGAUACUACCAGGCUUGGGACCGGGAGAGGUAAGAGGUACUACGGGGGUAGGAGUGAAAUCUUGUAAUCCCUGUGGGACCACCGGUGGCGAAGGCGUCUUACCAGAACGGGUCCGACGGUGAGGGACGAAAGCUGGGGGCACGAACCGGAUUAGAUACCCGGGUAGUCCCAGCUGUAAACUAUGCUCGCUAGGUGUCAGGGACGGUGCGACCGUUUCUGGUGCCGCAGGGAAGCCGUGAAGCGAGCCACCUGGGAAGUACGGUCGUAAGGCUGAAACUUAAAGGAAUUGGCGGGGGAGCACUACAACGGGUGGAGCCUGCGGUUUAAUUGGAUUCAACGCCGGG